AAAUCAGUUCUUUAAAUCAAAAACAGGUAGUCCUGAUUAUGAUUGGCUGAGCCGCGUCAGAAGCCGUUUUGAAAAUACUCUAAACACACCUGUGACCGUUUUACAACAGCAUUACUGCGCCAAAUUGUUUCAAAAUCUCAGAUUUUGUUGUUAAUUUUGAUUUACUGGGUGGGCUAAACCUGAAUGAGUGGUAGAAAGAGAUGGACAGGAUGGAGAAGAGAAACUCACGACAAAACAUCCCAUCACCAAGUGUUAACGGAGGCAGACUUUCAGAAAAUCGAGCACUUUGAGGCACUGAAUCCAAACACACCUGGGGGGCUUGUCAAAAAAAGUCUAGUUCAAUGUGCAGCUGCAUAUCGGACGCAGAGCGAAAGAGGACAACCGCCAACUGAAGCCCAAAUCAUUUAUUAUCCGCCAGGAUGAAAACGGUCAGAAAUAUGCAACGCUGUCAUUCAACGAAUGCACAAAUAACCCACAAAGAUGUCGGCGAAAGAAACCAAGAGAGCCUACGGACAUUUAUGUUUGAUCAGCCAGGAAACUCAGUGAGUCCUGUCGCUUCGCUGGAGAAAUACAUCUCGUUUUAUACCAGCGUUUGAUCUCCAUCCAAAGCGGACAAACUACACCGUCGAUCAAUAGUACACUAGAGACGGAUUUGUAAAGAAGUCGGCACUGAGACAAUCAACAUCAACCACUGCUUGUGAAGCACCACUGUACAGAAACUCUGAUGCUGACCCAGAGGCAAGAGAAAUCAUGUCAGUGACGGGGCAUAAAUGUGAACCGUCCCUGCAAUCUUACUGGCGCCCAAACUACAACGAGGGAAGAUGAUGGAGCAACAUCUUUGCUUCUGGAAAAUGUGUGUGUGCUAACAUAAUUGAACAUUACUUCAAUAAUUGCACAUUUAAUGGCGAUAUCCAGAUAAAUGUUAAUAAUCACCCCAUCUUUAAGCAUACUUUCCACUGUGUCUAUGUGUUGCUGUAUCUGUGUGUUGCUUGGCAACUAUUCUGCUAAAUGUACAUUGCUUUGCGGAACGCUGAUUAUUUGUAAUCAAUACAUUAUUGCAUUUUU